rnacentral:lncRNA from 1 species
UGAUGUAAAAUUCUGAAUGUUGAUGAUUAUACGUGCUGAAAUUUGAGAAUAAGUUGCCGUCUUUUUUGGUUUACGUCCCUUUUUAGCGGUAUCUUAUUGAGAUGUUAGCGAUAUCUUGUUGAGAUGUGAAUGCUUGAUUGAGAAAAUGGUAUGUGUGUUGUGAAUGCUUGAUUGCAUGUAUAUAAUAAAUAAGUGCAUGGAUACUUUUCUAGCUUUGUCUUCCUUUGUUGCUUUGCCGUGACUUACCUAUGAUGCGCUUAGUCCAAACCUAGCCUAGAUAGAGUUAAAAAAGGAUAGGAGGUACUCUUUUAGAAAUUGAGAUGGUUUUAAUAAAUAACAUGAGUUAGGAGCCGUUUGUCUAGCCACAAUGAACUAAAUCCCUUUAGAAAAGGGUGGACAUUAACAAAACUUGUUGCCACUUCGAAGGGAGUAGUCAAACUUAGAAACUAAGUGUAGAACCAUAGAAAGGUUAGCCCACCGGUUCUAGCAAGACCUAGUUACCACAUUGCAUAUCAAAGAAAGAAUAGAGAGACUUGCAAACGUAAACAGUGAAACAAUUAAGAGCUAAAAAAAACAAACAACAUAUGCAAUAUACAUAAAAAAAAUCCCAUAAAAAAUGAGGGGAAACUUCACUUAUGGCCUAACCAAAACCAAACCACCUACUCUUAGCGUUCUAGACAUAGCAUCGAGUUUGA